UAUAGAAUAUGCUGUCACUAAAGGGUUAACUAGUCGAGUGUCAAAUUACAUGAUGCCAGUAGAGGGCGCGCUAGCACUGUUUUAUACAUUCGUCAUUGGGGAUUCUCUUGUAUGAAGCUGCAUUAGAAAAAAGCUCUAGUUCACGUGGCGAAAAUAGAUUGCAAAACAGUAACAUCUAGUCAAUUCUAAUCAGGAGUUGAGUGGAUAAGAUAUUUUUUUACUAGUAACUCGAGGAUUGCAUUGUGGAGGACAUUUUUCUGUUGUUCUUUACCCUGUUUUCUGCCGAAACCUCCGAUUGGUUUUCAUCCUGGAUUCAGUUUGAUUUCAAACCAUACCGACUUCGAUGGCGAGCCUGUCCCAGUGAGUGACAUUCAACAGAGAGAACGUUUGGACGCAGUGUGGCCAGCUGUGUUGGAUUCUCUUCUGCAGAGUGACUGAACUGAUUCGUAUCCAGACCUCGGAUAUUGGAUUCCAAGGAUUUCAGAUAAGGAACUUGAAUGUGUUUUGGUUUACUACCCGGGUAGAGUGACUUUCUGUUUUCCAAGGACAAUUUAUUUUGUUUUCCUAUUUUUUUUUAAAUGAAAGAGCUCUAUUUUAUUUGGGGGUAUUUUCUAAUGUAAGAGAAAAUAAUAUGUGAAUAGUUUGUUGCACAGUGACUGUGUAAUAAAUCUGCCAGCUGUUCUGUUUUAAAAAAAAAAAA